GGCAGCAGUGGGGAAUAUUGGACAAUGGGCGAAAGCCUGAUCCAGCCAUGCCGCGUGAGUGAUGAAGGCCCUAGGGUUGUAAAGCUCUUUCAACGGUGAAGAUAAUGACGGUAACCGUAGAAGAAGCCCCGGCUAACUUCGUGCCAGCGGCCGCG
rnacentral:rRNA from 1 species